UUCUGGGCGCGCCGGCAGCGCGAGGCUAGUUUUGCGGGCGGGUCCGGGGAGCCAAGCAGCCUGCACAAAUGCGGGCGUACAGCACAUCACCCUGGCUGACGUUGAGCCGCACGCGAAGGAGCAGGUCAUUCCUGCUGGGUUCCACAAGGAGGAGGCGGCAGGAGCCCAGAAUUCAAAUUUAAGACGCUCAAAACAAAAGUCACUUCUCCAGUAACUCAAGAGAGAAGCAUGAGCAUCAGCUUACAUUCUUCCCUUCCUCUGACCUCCCACAUCCAGCAGGACUCCUUAGCACAGCUUCUGGAUCUGUAAGAACAACUUGAGAACGGCCCCAG